rnacentral:tRNA from 1 species
UAUCGUAUGGUCUAGUGGUCAGGGCAGCCGGCUGUGAGCCGGAGGACCCAGGUUCGAUUCCUGGUGCGGUGG